CUACGGGGGGCUGCAGUGGGGAAUAUUGCACAAUGGGCGAAAGCCUGAUGCAGCAACGCCGCGUGCGGGAUGAAGGCCCUAGGGUUGUAAACCGCUUUCAGCAGGGAAGAAAAUGACGGUACCUGUAGAAGAAGGUGCGGCCAACUACGUGCCAGCAGCCGCGGUGACACGUAGGCACCAAGCGUUGUCCGGAUUUAUUGGGCGUAAAGAGCUCGUAGGCGGUUCAGUAAGUCGGGUGUGAAAACUCUGGGCUCAACCCGGAGACGCCACCCGAUACUGCUGUGACUAGAGUGCGGUAGGGGAGCGGGGAAUUCCUAGUGUAGCGGUGAAAUGCGCAGAUAUUAGGAGGAACACCAGUGGCGAAGGCGCCGCUCUGGGCCGUAACUGACGCUGAGGAGCGAAAGCGUGGGUAGCAAACAGGAUUAGAUACCCGCGUAGUC
rnacentral:rRNA from 1 species